GCGAAUAUCAUUACUUCUACCCAUAUUGGAACGAUACAGAGAAGAUUAGCAUGGCCCCUGCGCAUGAAUGACAUGCAUAAAUCGAGAAAUGAACCAAAUUUCU